UCCGUAGGGUGCGAGCGUUAAUCGGAAUUACUGGGCGUAAAGCGUGCGCAGGCGGUUCGUUGUGUCUGAUGUGAAAGCCCCGGGCUCAACCUGGGAAUGGCAUUGGAAACUGGCGAGCUAGAGUGUGGCAGAGGGGGGUGGAAUUCCGCGUGUAGCAGUGAAAUGCGUAGAGAUGCGGAGGAACACCGAUGGCGAAGGCAGCCCCCUGGGCUGACACUGACGCUCAGGCACGAAAGCGUGGGGAGCAAACAGG
rnacentral:rRNA from 1 species